AAAGUCUUCCUCUUAAAAACUUGGUGGAUGCCAUAAUUUAUAAAGCUAAUGAUAAUGAUGACUACACUUUGGAAAACUAUUUCUUACUGUGUGUAGAAAUUCACUAUAGUAAAAUGUUCUUUGGAACAGAAUUUUAAGGCUACCUGGCAUUAAAUCAGGCCACAAUAAUAUCAAUAUGCUGUGAUAUUUGAACUAGGUCUUACAAGAAAUAAAAAUCUAUGUGUUUGGACACAAAGAGUUCUGGCUCCAAGAAGGACUCAAUAGAGUACCCUCUGUCUUUAUGAAACUUUUUUAUCUGGCACAUUUAUGCCCCCAGUAAAUGUGUUCAUCACUUUCCAAUUGUUAUUCAAGCUCUACAGUGUUGUUCUAGAAAACAUAAUCUUAAACCCUGUGAUAGUAUCAAUCAUCAACUUGACUAGAUCCAGACUCCCUAGGAGACAAACCUCUGGGCUUGUCUAUGAUAGAUUAUCUAUAUUGGAUUAAUUGAGUUGGAAAGACUUACCCUAAAUGUAAGUGACUCUACUCUGUGGGUUGGGGUGCUAAAAGGCAUAAAACCAAGCAAGAGAUCUUGGCAUGAACAUUCAUGUCUCUGCCUCCUGACUGUGGAAACAGUGUGACCAGCUGCCUCCAGCUCCUAUGGCCAUGUUUCCUACAUGAAACAUGACGGACUGCACCCUCAAACUGUGAGCUCAGUUAAACCCUUCCUUCCUUAAGUUACAGUUGACAGGUAUCUACCAACCCAAUGAGAGUAGUUACUGAUCCCGUCUCUAUCUCUUUGGCUCCUUCUCCAAACUAGCAUCCCUUGCUUCUUUGGGAUUCUUUAGAUUAAAGUUUUCAUGCUACUAUACCAGACUAAAAUGGCCCAUUCUUCUCCCCUCUUCUCCUAAUCCUAUAGGUUCCUAUUUUUUUUUUAAGACCUAGUUCUGACAUCACUUCAAAUCAGAGCAUUUUAUUAAGAGAGCCAUCUCUCCAGUUCUGUUUCCCUUGGCUAAGGAAACAGAAACCUGUUAAGUAAUGAUCACAACAGUAUAGUUAUCAUGGAAGUUCAGGCCCUCCCUCUCAAGUAACUAGCAACAAAGAACUAAUUAUUUUAUGGGACAUCUUUUCAGUUGACCAUUAUGUAGUCAAUUAACUAAGUCAUUUUAUAUGUACUACUAAAAAUAAUUUUUAAAAGCUAGCUUAAGGGAAAACUAAGGCAUAUAAUUUUGCAUUUGUAUAAAAUAACAAUGUAAGGAAGUAUAUAUUGUUUUUUCUUUUUCCUAUAUAUAUCAGUUCCUAUGUAUAUAAAUGCUACUAUCUUAACCUUUAUAUUUUCCAGAGACAUGCUGUGAUAUGUACACACAUAGGAGUGCAUACAUGGCAAGGCUGAAAAAUGGCUGUGAGCACCAGAGAUUAUUAAUGGGACGGCAACGGAUAUAAACAAACAAGUUCUGAAGUGGUCCUUAUCCUCCCCCAGCAUCUAACCCUCCUCACCCAUUAAUCAGCUCCUGACAUGAGUGAGUUUCCAAAUGCAGUCAAAAAGCCCAUACAGAGGUUCCAGGGAGGGAAUAGUUCGGGGAUUUCUUCCUCUCACCCUACGAUGUAUUAUCUAUUUGUUCGCGGUUCUGCGGUUGAGGAAGUUGAUCGAGGACAAGCUACACGAUGAUCCUCAGUUUUCUGUGAGAGUGACUAUCUUCGUUACUGUUCUGUGGCUGUGAAGAGACUCCGUGACCCAGGCAACUGAUAAAAGCAUUGGAGGCUUGUCUACAGUUUCAGAGGGUGACUUCCAUAACCACAUGGUCCUCAGUGGACAGGGAGACACCCAGCCACACUGAAAGGCAAGCAAACUCCGCUAUUGAUUCUUCCCGAUCUCAGCGGGAUGUGGUGACACGUACCAGUAAUCUUAGCACUUGGGAGGCUGAGUAGGACCCACUGUGCCUUGCUCUACCGAGAACUCACUCUCGUGUGCUGGUGCUUUUAGCUUUUAGCUUAGCCUAUGUGAGAUUUCUUGGCAGGAAUCUUCUCUUGGCUAAACCGUUCUGCUUCUCGUGAAGGAGCAAGUGUUUUGUAAGCAGUUCUUUGGUAUCCUGAGGCUUGGCACUGCACGACAUACUUGGUUGAAGACAGUCCAAAAGAACACAGUGGCUUGGACCGUCCAAGGAUCAGCUUCAGGAAAGGAGAAGAGCAGCACUCGGACCCAAGAAUUCUGAAAUUCUCCUGAGGUCAGCAUCACUAUGGAGACACCCUUCACUCUCCUCAGCAAUAAGGCAGCGACGUGGUUCUAUUUGCAGAGAUAUUACAACAGUGGUGGCGGUAGUUGUGGUGGGGAGUCUUCAUUCUACAGCCACGGAUUGUCUCAGACUCAGUCUCCCUGCCUCAGCCUGGAGAGCAUCACCAAUGCCUGGUUACUAUAGUCGUGUUCUUAAAAUAAAGAUUUUACAAGAUAUUUUAA